CAGAAAAGCAAAUACAUCUAUUUACCACGUGAAAGAGAGCUGCCUUGCAGAACGAGCUGCAAAGCGGUUGGCUAAGGGCUGCGCACAGCUGCCUCCCGCAGCUCCCAGGCUCACCUGUCCGCUCUGCCCUCAUCAACUCCGCACUGAGCCCUGGGACGGCCCUUCGACAGACCGCCGCGCUGCAGAGGGUGCGGACCCACGUCUGAAGGGCUGACGCUAUGUCUGGAACGAUGGCGCUUUUGUAGUUGAAAAGCGUCAGGAUUAAACGUUGUUAGUAUUUGCUGGAGGAACCUCUAAAUCACGUCAGAAGGAAAUGAGUGCUUUCACUUUGUGGGUGACACUCAUGGCAGUGUGAUUACUUGGAAUUUGAGGUGAAAAUGCCCAGCCGGAGAGAUCAAGUCAAGACAGAGAAAAAUGAGCAGCACGUUAAAUGGGAUGCAGAAGGAAAAGUGAUGCAGAAUGAAAACUGGAAGGAUUUCCAAGGAAAGAAAGAAUGACAGAGCCUGUAGAUGAAGACUUACCUACAUGUUAAUGAGUAAAAAUCUGACCAGCAGGGCUUCUUACUGGAAAUGAGAGCUGGACUGUGGGACGGAUCAUGCAAUCAUAGAAUAUCCUGAGUUGGAAGGGACCCACAUGGAUCAUUGAGACCUCCAACACCAUACUUGUCAUUAGCCAUGGAAGCAAAGAAUGGAAUUGAGACACAGGUGUGACAACAAAAGAACAGAAAAAGAAAGAAAUCCCUCAAAAAGAAAGAGAAAAAGAAGGGAAAAAAAAAAAAGCAACAGCAAAGAAGGAAGACUCAGAUAUUCUGUCAGGUAUGUUUGUGUUGGGUUUUUUCCCAAGGUUUUGUGAAAAUGCGUUUGCUUAAAAGGAAAAUCGGUUUUAUUAACUUCUCUGUAGAAUUAAUAUUUAUCCGUAGGAAAUGCAGCCUCCUCUAAUUUUGGCUGUUUAUCUCUGUUCAUUCUGUGUGUGUGUGAGUGAAAUCCUGUACCCACUGAGCUCACAGGAAAUUAUAUGAUACCUGGGUCCCUAAAGCAGGAACCUGAAUGCUGCAGCAGGAUGCAUGAUUGCUGAUGUCCAGAAUAUCCGAUGUGAUAUAUGACUUGAAGAGGAGCCACAUUUCUUCUGUAAAAGAAAUGAAAUAAAAGGAGUGCUGAGCAAAAGGCACCAGGAACCACCGCCCACCUCCCAGAGUGCCAUUCCUCAACUUGGGGACAGAACAACCCCAAAGAGAAACAUACUGGUGUUCCGAGCAGUAGUGACAGGACGAUCCUGAGUGAACAGAAGAUGAAUCAGUGGGUUCCAGGCCAGUCUCUAAUACACAAGAUCCAGUUUUCCCUCAGAUGCUAAAAGGGACGCAGUUUGGGUUUGGAUAUCUGAGAAAGAGGGCAUAAAGGCAGUAAGACCUUCUGUGGGUAAGGUCUCACCUACAUCUUCCAGCCUUGAGCAGUUCAGUGCCUCUCAAGAGUUUUCUCCUGUUCCUCACUCUUGAGGGUCAUCUUAGCACACAGCUGACCCCUGCCUGAUGACACAUGGAGGAAGGCAGCCAGAAUGCUGGUGGUAGCCAUCCCUGGCAAUGUGUGAGGGAUGGAGAUUUUGUGCCAAGAGUGAGCAAGAAGCAAAACAUGGACUCUUUGCUCCCACCACCAAAUCUGUGAGUCCCUUUCCUCUGGGGUGCCUGUCCCAUCCAGGAUUACAUCCAUGCCUGAAUCUACUGGCUUUUUCAUUCCUCUCCUCUGUCCCUGUAAUGCCAAGUCACAGGGCUGCACUCUUCCCUUGCUGAGCAGUGCUGGUGUCAGGGAAAGAGGAGGAGGAAGCAAUGCAGGGAAGUUCAGAAGGAUCUGUGCAAUGAUUCUAUAGGGGCAGUUUGUCAUGUCAGCCCUGUGGACACCAACCUCAAUGCAUUCAAGAGCUCCCAGUGGGUGAGCAGAACCAAAGCACAUUAGUAGCAUCCAUCCAUCCUCUCCCGACAGCCAGGUCCCUGUGACCACAGAGGUAUGUUUCUGAAGUACUACAGAGGGCUUUUUGGUGUUAAAUUCUGUUUUUCUGGCAUAUUUAUUGAGACAUUGCCCCUCUAAGCUUUUUGAAACAUGGGCUGAGGUCAUUAGCACAGUUCGUAAUUUCAGCAGCGCUUGUGAACCUUCAGAUUUAGUUUGUUGUUUCAUCAGAGUCAUUUUCUUCAGCACAUCUUUUUUAAUUAUUUUUUAAUCCAUUCCCUCCCCACAUGCACAGACCUCACAGGGAUUUUCAUGCAUUUAAAUGAAAAAGCUGAACGGUUCCCUUUUCUUGUUCACAUUAUGCAGCAUUGCCCUUCUCUGUUCUUAUCCUAUUUCAGAGCUGUCAUGCAAACAAACCCAACUUAAAAAAAAAAAAUUAAAAAUCAUUACAGAGGUAUGCAUCCUGUCAACCCUCUGUCUUGGCUACUUCUCACUGUAUGUGUAAGGAGAAAUCCCUUCUCCUGAUUGCGCUUCUCUUUCAGGUAUAUUGACUUCUUUUUAAUCUCUAAUUCAUUAUUUCUCUGGCUCCCCAAAAUGCUCUGGUCUGCUCUGGUUGCCCAAUAAACCACUACUCCCUUCCCUACCAUGCAUAGGUAGUACUUACUUUUCCAGGGCUAUGGAACUCUUGUUUUCAUUGAUAUUUUCUUCUUCAACUAAUCUAGAAGGGGAGGAUUGUUCUUUUCUGUAAAGUCUGUUCUGUGAAGCAUGCUGUGCUGCUAGGACAACCCCUUGUCUUUUUCCACAUGUGUAUGCCUUAGCAAAGUAGUCAUUGCAACUCUUUCCUCCACAAUUUAAGUAUCUGAUUGUUUUCAAUAUUAUUUCUUACUCUUGUAUAUCAUCUGAGUCAGCUUUUAAGGAAGGCUGAGCCAGAAAACUUCAACAGGCGUUAAUAUCAAUUUCAUUUAUUUAUUUAUUUGCCAAGCCAGCUCUUAUUAGAAAUCUUCACCAUGCCAAGAAGUUACUCUCUGGGAAGCCUUUUCAUGUCCCUGAUCAAAAUGUAGGGACACUGGCUUCUGCAAGGUAAGCAGUAUGAGCUCCUGUGUGAUUUUCACAAUGGCAAUGGAAAAAAACCUUACCUUUAGCAGAGUCCAAACACAGAAGAUGCAUCCAGCUCUGGGAUUUCUUAGAGGGCAACCCCAGGAAGUAUCAUUUUUGCUUACUCUCAGCACAAGUACAUGGCUCUCAUUAUUGACUCUCCUGGGCAACAGCCAUAAACCAGGCUCAAACACAUAUAAAAAGGGGAAAGACAGCAGGGCUGUAAUGAUCAUGACAGCAAGUGGAAGUGUGAUGGGACAGGGCUCAAAAGAGACAACUACAAAUUGCUCCCGAGGAGGUAUAUAUCUUGUUCUUACUGCAGCUGAAGCUCUUAUUGGGAAGAUGUGGAUGUCAGCAUAGCUCUGGCAGGGAAUUUGUGCUAGCUGCAGAUGGAAAGAGUGAUAGAGCGUGGAAUAGGUAUGGAACAACAGGUCAAGGCUUUUGCCUGGUCUCUGAUAUCCCUCUGAUGGCCACGAGGCUGCCUUUUCUGAAGGAGGGUACAUUCUUGUAGCAAGAAAUGUAGUGGAAAAAUAACUAUUUUUUACUUAUUUCUCAAGCCCAUGAAGGAGCACGUAUAUGGAUAGCGGGAGACCAAGAAUUGAUAGGUAUGAAAGCAGCUCUGCCAACUCUUGUGCAGAACAUCAAACAGUGAAUUUAGACUGCACCAUCUUCCCAUCUCCCUGGAAAAACUUCCGAUGUUCUUGAUUUUAUCCACACAGGGAGGAUGAAAUGCUGUAAAUCUUAAUGAUUUGUGGGAUGGGGGAUAUUUCUCGCUUUCUAUAAAUACGUUAACCUCUUUGUCAGUGGGGAAUAAAGAUCUGCUUUGAAUUCAUGUUGCAUUUUUAAAGUUUCUUUCUAAGAUUCCUUUUUUUCCCCUUUUAUUUCCCGUCUCUUCUCAUGUAUCUCAGAAGAAACCAGCCUGCCAAACUGCUCCAGGAACCUCUUCUAAGCACAUUGGCCUUACUGCACAUAAGAACAACUCUUUCCGCUGAUGUUUUUUCACCUGCUCUGGAUAAAGCCUGAGAUACACCCUCAGUGACACUCCUGGGUUCUCCUUUUCCUUUCUGCUUUGGUGCAGAGGUGAAAGUAUCACAAGACAGUGAGAAAUGGAUGGAUUUACUUGACACAAAGAGAAAAUGCUGCUCUGCCAAAAUCAACUUUCUGAUGACAACAGCAGGACCAAAAAUUUGACUCAGGUGGUGUUGCUUUUUGUGUCAUUCAGUCACUAUGAGAAGGAGAGCAUUAAUUCCCAGAACAUUUAUACGCUAUU
ensembl:lncRNA